AGCAGGACUGGCUGCUGCCACCAAGGGGACGGAUGGAGUUACUACUGGGCCACUGACUGCGGUCCCUGUAGACUCCUGAGACCACUGCGGUGCUGUCCCCUGUCGCACCGCACUGGCGUAGGUUGUUUGAGCAGGGGCAAGAUCGUGAAUAUGCUGGAUGAUCUCCUUUGCAGUUUGUACAGUGUGGAGCAGCAUUACAGUUUUCCGACUGAUGGUCAUUGGCAC
rnacentral:lncRNA from 1 species